rnacentral:tRNA from 1 species
AUUAAUAAAGUUUAUAUAACAUUUCAUUUUCAAUGAAAAAAAAGAAAUAUAAUUUCUUAUUAAUA